GACGGGGUGACCGAGUGGUGAAGGAGAUGGACUCCUAAUCCAUUGGGGAUUCCCCAGGUCGGUACGAAUCCCAUCCCCGUCG
rnacentral:tRNA from 1 species